AAAUCCAUGCCCUAACAAUGGCACAAUGAGAUUUCUCCUAGAUUGAUCUUAUCUCUAAGCAAUUACUAGCUUAGAAUCAAAGAGGAAGCUUUCUAAUACCAUCACUAAGCCCUUUGAACCAUUCCUAGGGCAUCUACUUUGGAUUCUAACAAUCCACCAUGAGAGCACCUUGAGAAAACCAUGGUUUUCAUGGUGUUCAAGACUCUAUUAUACUUCUAAAGCCUCUAAAGAGACCAAAACUCCAAAACCUAAGGUAAGAAUCCUAACCCUAGAGGAGUUCAUGCAUAAAUUCACCUUGGCUACAAGCUAUCUCCAAGUCCUUCUUGUAGGAGAGCUUCUAUAGCCACCACAACCUCCAAAAUCCACCCUCUCCAAGCUUCCAAGCCUUCUCCUCCAAGCCCUAGGCCAAGCUCUCUAGAGAGAGAAAGAGGGAAAUGAGAGGGAGAGUGAAAGGGUGGCUGUUGCUGUGAAAGGAGAAGGGCUGGGUCAUAUAAGGGUCGCAACAAUAGCAACUAAGCCCCCCAAACUUUCUUAUUUGCAACAGGUCAUUUCCUUGCUGCUAGACCAAAGUGUACCGGUACACGUUAUUUUGUAUCGGUACAACU
rnacentral:lncRNA from 1 species